AGCGAACGCUGGCGGCAGGCCUAACACAUGCAAGUCGAACGAACUCUUCGGAGUUAGUGGCGGACGGGUGAGUAACACGUGGGAACGUGCCUUUAGGUUCGGAAUAACUCAGGGAAACUUGUGCUAAUACCGAAUGUGCCCUUCGGGGGAAAGAUUUAUCGCCUUUAGAGCGGCCCGCGUCUGAUUAGCUAGUUGGUGAGGUAACGGCUCACCAAGGCGACGAUCAGUAGCUGGUCUGAGAGGAUGACCAGCCACACUGGGACUGAGACAUGGCCCAGACUCCUACGGGAGGCAGCAGUGGGGAAUCUUGCGCAAUGGGCGAAAGCCUGAUGCAGCCAUGCCGCGUGAAUGAUGAAGGUCUUAGGAUUGUAAAAUUCUUUCACCGGGGACGAUAAUGACGGUACCCGGAGAAGAAGCCCCGGCUAACUUCGUGCCAGCCGCCGCUGUAAGAC
rnacentral:rRNA from 1 species